AGACCCGAAACCCGGUGAUCUAGCCAUGGGCAGGUUGAAGGUUGGGUAACACUAACUGGAGGACCGAACCGACUAAUGUUGAAAAAUUAGCGGAUGACCUGUGGCUGGGGGUGAAAGGCCAAUCAAACCGGGAGAUAGCUGGUUCUCCCCGAAAGCUAUUUAGGUAGCGCCUCGUGAAUUCAUCUCCGGGGGUAGAGCACUGUUUCGGCUAGGGGGCCAUCCCGGCUUACCAACCCGAUGCAAACUGCGAAUACCGGAGAAUGUUAUCACGGGAGACACACGGCGGGUGCUAACGUCCGUCGUGAAGAGGGAAACAACCCAGACCGCCAGCUAAGGUCCCAAAGUCAUGGUUAAGUGGGAAACGAUGUGGGAAGGCCCAGACAGCCAGGAUGUUGGCUUAGAAGCAGCCAUCAUUUAAAGAAAGCGUAAUAGCUCACUGGUCGAGUCGGCCUGCGCGGAAGAUGUAACGGGGCUAAACCAUGCACCGAAGCUGCGGCAGCGAACGUAUCACUUAAAGCGAUUCAGCGGGUUACGAUUGACGGAGCGAAGCGACGUCAAAGCGUAUACAAAGUCGAGUCGGUUUAAGGAUACGUUCGUUGGGUAGGGGAGCGUUCUGUAAGCCUGUGAAGGUGGCCUGUGAGGGUUGCUGGAGG
rnacentral:rRNA from 1 species